GACGAACGCUGGCGGCGUGCCUAAUACAUGCAAGUCGAGCGCAGGAAAUCGACGGAACCCUUCGGGGGGAAGUCGAUGGAAUGAGCGGCGGACGGGUGAGUAACACGUAAAGAACCUGCCCUCAGGUCUGGGAUAACCACGAGAAGUCGGGGCUAAUCCCGGAUGGGUCAUCGGACCGCAUGGUCCGAGGAUGAAAGGCGCUUCGGCGUCGCCUGGGGAUCGCUUUGCGGUGCAUGAGCUAGUUGGUGGGGUAAUGGCCCACCAAGGCGACGAUGCAUAGCCGACCUGAGAGGGUGAUCGGCCACACUGGGACUGAGACACGGCCCAGACUCCUACGGGAGGCAGCAGUAGGGAAUCUUCCACAAUGGACGAAAGUCUGAUGGAGCAACGCCGCGUGAACGAUGAAGGCCUUCGGGUCGUAAAGUUCUGUUGUAAGGGAAGAACGAGUGCCGCAGGCAAUGGCGGCACCUUGACGGUACCUUGCGAGAAAGCCACGGCUAACUACGUGCCAGCAGCCGCAGUAA
rnacentral:rRNA from 1 species